rnacentral:rRNA from 1 species
GAUGAACGCUGGCGGCGUGCUUAACACAUGCAAGUCGAACGAAGCACUUUAUUUGAUUUCCUUCGGGACUGAUUAUUUUGUGACUGAGUGGCGGACGGGUGAGUAACGCGUGGGUAACCUGCCUUGUACAGGGGGAUAACAGUUGGAAACGGCUGCUAAUACCGCAUAAGCGCACAGCAUCGCAUGAUGCAGUGUGAAAAACUCCGGUGGUAUAAGAUGGACCCGCGUUGGAUUAGCUAGUUGGUGAGGUAACGGCCCACCAAGGCGACGAUCCAUAGCCGACCUGAGAGGGUGACCGGCCACAUUGGGACUGAGACACGGCCCAAACUCCUACGGGAGGCAGCAGUGGGGAAUAUUGCACAAUGGGCGAAAGCCUGAUGCAGCGACGCCGCGUGAGCGAAGAAGUAUUUCGGUAUGUAAAGCUCUAUCAGCAGGGAAGAUAAUGACGGUACCUUACUAAGAAGCACCGGCUAAAUACGUG